AGGGUUUGUUUUUUAGAAAAAGCAGAAAGCGUGUAGAGGUAAAACAUUUAAAAUAAAUAGAAUUUUUUUAGUAAUAGUGCAAUAUUAAAAGAAGAAAAAGAAUUUUUUAUGUGAAGACAAUUUAUUUUUUUUCUUUAACACGAAGGUUCUGGGAGCGAACAGGAUUAGAGACCCUGGUAGUCGAUACAGUAAAAGAAAGUCGCUUGAGUAGUACGGUCGCAAGAUUAAAAUUCAAAAAACUUGGCUGUUCAUUGUUAUUUAGAGGAGCGUGUUGCUUAAUUCGAUAAUCCGCGAGUUACCUUACCAAAACUAGCUUUUACAGGUG
rnacentral:rRNA from 1 species